rnacentral:rRNA from 1 species
GAUUAGAUACCCUGGUAGUCCACGCCGUAAACGAUGGAUACUCGCUGCGGGCUAAAGAUUGUCCGUGGCUUAGGGAAACCGAUAAGUAUCCCACCUGGGGAGUACGCCGGCAACGGUGAAACUCAAAGGAAUUGACGGGGGCCCGCACAAGUGGUGGAGCAUGUGGUUUAAUUCGAUGAUACGCGAGGAACCUUACCUAGGCUAGAAUGCGCGUGACCGGCUCAGAGAUGAGCCUUUCCUUCGGGACACAAAGCAAGGUGCUGCAUGGCCGUCGUCAGCUCGUGCCGUGAGGUGUUGGGUUAAGUCCCGCAACGAGCGCAACCCCUAUGGUUAGUUGCCAGCACGUAAUGGUGGGGACUCUAGCCAGACUGCCUGCGCAAGCAGUGAGGAAGGCGGGGACGACGUCAGGUCAUCAUGGCCCUUACGCCUAGGGCGACACACGUGCUACAAUGGACGGUACAGCGGGUAGCUACCAGGCGACUGGAUGCCAAUCUCGAAAAGCCGUUCUCAGUUCGGAUUGGAGUCUGCAACUCGACUCCAUGAAGCUGGAAUCACUAGUAAUCGCGCAUCAGCCAUGGCGCGGUGAAUACGUUCCCGGGCCUUGUACACACCGCCCGUCAAGCCAUGAAAGUCUGGUAGACCUGAAGCUGGUGCUCGUCACAGAAGCCAGUUAGGGUAGAACAGGUAAUUA